rnacentral:rRNA from 1 species
CGGAGGGCGCGAGCGUUGUCCGGAAUCACUGGGCGUAAAGGGCGCGUAGGUGGCCACUAUAAGGCCGCGGUGAAAGUUCGGGGCUCAACCCCGAAUCUGCCGCGGCGACUGUAGGGCUUGGGCACUGUAGAGGCAGAUGGAAUUCCGGGUGUAGCGGUGGAAUGCGUAGAGAUCCGGAAGAACACCAGUGGCGAAGGCGGUCUGCUGGGCAGUGGGAGCGCAAGCUCCUCUUAGCCGACACUGAGGCGCGACAGCGUGGGGAGCAAACAGGAUUAGAUACCCUGGUAGUCCACGCCGUAAACGAUGGGCACUAGGUGCUUUGGGGAGCGACCCCCGGGGUACCGGCGCUAACGCAUGAAGUGCCCCGCCUGGGGAGUACGGCCGCAAGGCUG